rnacentral:rRNA from 1 species
UACGUAGGGUGCGAGCGUUGUCCGGAAUUACUGGGCGUAAAGAGCUCGUAGGCGGUUUGUCGCGUCGUCCGUGAAAACUCGGAGCUUAACUCCGGGCGUGCGGGCGAUACGGGCAGACUUGAGUACUACAGGGGAGACUGGAAUUCCUGGUGUAGCGGUGAAAUGCGCAGAUAUCAGGAGGAACACCGGUGGCGAAGGCGGGUCUCUGGGUAGUAACAGACGCUGAGGAGCGAAAGCAUGGGUAGCGAACAGGAUUAGAUACCCUGGUAGUCCCU